rnacentral:rRNA from 1 species
UACAGAGGGGGCAAGCGUUGUUCGGAAUUACUGGGCGUAAAGGGCGCGUAGGCGGCCUGCUAAGUCGAACGUGAAAUCCCCGGGCUCAACCCGGGAACUGCGUCCGAUACUGGCAGGCUUGAAUCCGGGAGAGGGAUGUGGAAUUCCAGGUGAUAGCGGUGAAAUGACGUAGAUAUCUGGAGGAACACCGGUGGCGAAGGCGGCAUCCUGGACCAAUAUUGACGCUGAGGAGCGAAAGCCAGGGGAGCAAACGGG